rnacentral:rRNA from 1 species
CGUAGGUGCGAGCGUUGUCCGGAAUUACUGGGCGUAAAGAGCUCGUAGGUGGUUUGUCGCGUUGUUCGUGAAACCGGAGGCUCAACCUCUGGCGUGCGGGCGAUACGGGCAGACUGGAGUACUGCAGGGGAGACUGGAAUUCCUGGUGUAGCGGUGGAAUGCGCAGAUAUCAGGAGGAACACCGGUGGCGAAGGCGGGUCUCUGGGCAGUAACUGACGCUGAGGAGCGAAAGCGUGGGGAGCGAACAGGAUU